AUUGAACGCUGGCGGAAUGCUUUGCACAUGCAAGUCGAACGGCAGCACGGGUGCUUGCACCUGGUGGCGAGUGGCGAACGGGUGAGUAAUACGUCGGAACGUACCCAGUCGUGGGGGAUAACGUAGCGAAAGUUACGCUAAUACCGCAUACGUCCUGAGGGAGAAAGCGGGGGACCGUAAGGCCUCGCGCGAUUGGAGCGGCCGAUGGCGGAUUAGCUAGUUGGUGGGGUAAAGGCCUACCAAGGCGACGAUCCGUAGCGGGUCUGAGAGGACGGCCCGCCACACUGGAACUGAGACGCGGUCCAGACUCCUACGGGAGGCAGCAGUGGGGAAUUUUGGACAAUGGGCGAAAGCCUGAUCCAGCCAUUCCGCGUGAGUGAAGAAGGCCUUCGGGUUGUAAAGCUCUUUCGGCAGGGAAGAAACGGCUUGGGAUAAUACCCCGGGCUAAUGACGGUACCUGAAGAAGAAGCACCGGCUAACUACGUGCCAGCCGCCGCCGUAA
rnacentral:rRNA from 1 species